rnacentral:rRNA from 1 species
UGGAUGACUCUCGACAACGGAUAUCUCGGCUCUCACAUCAAUGAAGAAUGUAGCGAAAUGCGAUACCUGGUGUGAAUUGCAGAAUCCCGUGAACCAUCGAGUCUUUGUAUGCAAGUUGCGCCCGGGGCCAUCCGGCUAAGGGCACGCCUGCCUGGGCGUCACGC